rnacentral:rRNA from 1 species
AAAUUGAAGAGUUUGAUCAUGGCUCAGAUUGAACGCUGGCGGCAGGCCUAACACAUGCAAGUCGAACGGUAACAGGAAGCAGCUUGCUGCUUUGCUGACGAGUGGCGGACGGGUGAGUAAUGUCUGGGAAACUGCCUGAUGGAGGGGGAUAACUACUGGAAACGGUGGCUAAUACCGCAUAACGUCGCAAGACCAAAGAGGGGGACCUUCGGGCCUCUUGCCAUCAGAUGUGCCCAGAUGGGAUUAGCUUGUUGGUGAGGUAACGGCUCACCAAGGCGACGAUCCCUAGCUGGUCUGAGAGGAUGACCAGCCACACUGGAACUGAGACACGGUCCAGACUCCUACGGGAGGCAGCAGUGGGGAAUAUUGCACAAUGGGCGCAAGCCUGAUGCAGCCAUGCCGCGUGUAUGAAGAAGGCCUUCGGGUUGUAAAGUACUUUCAGCGGGGAGGAAGGUGUUGUGGUUAAUAACCGCAGCAAUUGACGUUACCCGCAGAAGAAGCACCGGCUAACUCCGUGCCAGCAGCCGCGGUAAUACGGAGGGUGCAAGCGUUAAUCGGAAUUACUGGGCGUAAAGCGCACGCAGGCGGUCUGUCAAGUCGGAUGUGAAAUCCCCGGGCUCAACCUGGGAACUGCAUUCGAAACUGGCAGGCUUGAGUCUUGUAGAGGGGGGUAGAAUUCCAGGUGUAGCGGUGAAAUGCGUAGAGAUCUGGAGGAAUACCGGUGGCGAAGGCGGCCCCCUGGACAAAGACUGACGCUCAGGUGCGAAAGCGUGGGGAGCAAACAGGAUUAGAUACCCUGGUAGUCCACGCCGUAAACGAUGUCUACUUGGAGGUUGUGCCCUUGAGGCGUGGCUUCCGGAGCUAACGCGUUAAGUAGACCGCCUGGGGAGUACGGCCGCAAGGUUAAAACUCAAAUGAAUUGACGGGGGCCCGCACAAGCGGUGGAGCAUGUGGUUUAAUUCGAUGCAACGCGAAGAACCUUACCUGGUCUUGACAUCCACGGAAGAAUUCAGAGAUGGAUUUGUGCCUUCGGGAACCGUGAGACAGGUGCUGCAUGGCUGUCGUCAGCUCGUGUUGUGAAAUGUUGGGUUAAGUCCCGCAACGAGCGCAACCCUUAUCCUUUGUUGCCAGCGGUCCGGCGGGAACUCAAAGGAGACUGCCAGUGAUAAACUGGAGGAAGGUGGGGAUGACGUCAAGUCAUCAUGGCCCUUACGACCAGGGCUACACACGUGCUACAAUGGCGCAUACAAAGAGAAGCGACCUCGCGAGAGCAAGCGGACCUCAUAAAGUGCGUCGUAGUCCGGAUUGGAGUCUGCAACUCGACUCCAUGAAGUCGGAAUCGCUAGUAAUCGUGGAUCAGAAUGCCACGGUGAAUACGUUCCCGGGCCUUGUACACACCGCCCGUCACACCAUGGGAGUGGGUUGCAAAAGAAGUAGGUAGCUUAACCUUCGGGAGGGCGCUUACCACUUUGUGAUUCAUGACUGGGGUGAAGUCGUAACAAGGUAACCGUAGGGGAACCUGCGGUUGGAUCACCUCCUUACCUUAAAGAA